UACGUAGGGUGCGAGCGUUGUCCGGAAUUAUUGGGCGUAAAGAGCGUGUAGGCGGCCAGGGAGGUCCGUUGUGAAAACUCGAGGCUCAACCUCGAGACGCCGAUGGAAACCCCCUGGCUAGAGUCCGGAAGAGGAGAAUGGAAUUCCUGGUGUAGCGGUGAAAUGCGCAGAUAUCAGGAAGAACACCCGUGGCUAAGGCGGUUCUCUAGUACGGUACUGACGCUGAGACGCGAAAGCGUGGGGAGCGAACAGG
rnacentral:rRNA from 1 species